GCGGGAAUAACUCAAUGGUAGAGUGUUACCUUCCCAAGGUAAAGGUUGCGAGUUCGACUCUCGUUUCCCGCU
rnacentral:tRNA from 1 species